rnacentral:rRNA from 1 species
UACGUAGGGUGCAAGCGUUGUCCGGAAUUAUUGGGCGUAAAGAGCUCGUAGGCGGUUCGUCGCGUCGGCUGUGAAAUCCCGAGGCUCAACCUCGGGUCUGCAGUCGAUACGGGCGGACUGGAGUACUGCAGGGGAGACUGGAAUUCCUGGCGUAGCGGUGAAAUGCGCAGAUAUCAGGAGGAACACCGGUGGCGAAGGCGGGUCUCUGGGCAGUUACUGACGCUGAGGAGCGAAAGCGUGGGGAGCGAACAGG